rnacentral:pre_miRNA from 1 species
AUAAGAGUCACCUGGGGAUCUUGUGAAAAUGCAGAUUCUUGUUCAGCAGGUCUGGAGCAGGACCUGAGAGCCUGCAUUUCUAAGAAGUUCCCAGGUGAUACCUAU